UAAUUUGACAAACACACUCAAUAUGCCUGAUCUCAUCUGAUCUCCAAAGCUAAGCAGGGUGGGGCCUGGUUAGUACUUGGAUGGGAGACUACUAUUUUUUCUACGUGAAUGAAUGAU
rnacentral:rRNA from 1 species